rnacentral:rRNA from 1 species
UACAGAGGGUGCAAGCGUUAAUCGGAAUUACUGGGCGUAAAGCGUGCGUAGACGGUUACAUAAGUCGGGUGUGAAAGCCCCGGGCUCAACCUGGGAAUUGCAUUCGAGACUGCGUAGCUAGGGUGCGGAAGAGGGAAGCGGAAUUUCCGGUGUAGCGGUGAAAUGCGUAGAUAUCUGGAGGAAUACCGGUGGCGAAGGCGGCAUCCUGGACCAUUACUGACGCUGAGGCGCGAAAGCUAGGGGAGCAAACGGG